UAAAAAUAAAAGAAACUGCGUGAUGGGUCGGGUAAUGGAGCAUUUGUUGAAAUUACCAGUAUGCCCUUAUUGAAAGGACAAAUGUGAAAUUUCAUGAGAAGUUUCCCUAGCAGGAAUUUAAUUUACAAAUGAAUAUUUAACUCUAUUUUCAUGAAUAAAUAAUGCCACUUCUAUUUUUUAUUAAGCAUUUGAUUUUUUUUUUCACAUGUUUUUAAAUUGUUUGACUGGACAUUUUCAUUUUUUUAUCUUUAAUUUUUGUUAAAUAAAUUCAUACAACUUUAAAAUCUUAUUUUACGAAAAAUCAUCAAUAUACUUAUCUAAAGGAGAAGCGAGGGGCGUGUAGGUGGCGCCUUUCACAUCGCUCCGUUCUAUUUUUCUAAUUUUCUGGAAUUUUUGAAUGAAAAAUAACAAAAAUGGUACUAAAAGCUAAUUCAUAUAUUAAAUGUAAUGACCAUCAAAAUGGUAACAGAAGCCAUAAAAAUGGCACUAAAAGCCAUUAAAGGCAUAAAAAGUCAUCAAUAAUGAUCCCAUAAAUGGUACUAAAUAUUCAUAAAGAAUAUUUAUCCAAUCACAAUUUAAAACGUAACAAAUCAAGAUCUAUAAUUACUACUAUUAAAAUCAAAUAAUAUUCAAAUUUACAAUUCUAAAACUAAAAUCAUGCCAUAAAAUAAUUCAAUCAGAAAAAUCUAAUAGCACUAAUUAAGUGAUCACAACUAAAUUCAACAUGACACCCAUAUCAACUCUUGGAAUAAUUGACUAAGUAGCGACAAAAAAAUCAAAAAGCAACUCAGACAAUAAUAAACAAAAUAAUGCAACAUUAAAACUAAGAACAUGCGACUCGGCGUUACUCGGCUGAAAAAAAAAGAAACUAAAAAGAAACAAUACUCAAAAACUAAAUCCAGGCAAUCAUUUAAGCUAGUAAAUCAGAAGAAGGCGCACAAAACUAGCAAAUCAAAGGACGCAAACACGGUUUCACUCAACUCGGUGCUAAACAAAAUGACUCGAGAUGGCGACUCAGACCAAACCAUGCAUCAAAACUCAGCAUACAGGACUUCAACACAGUGCUGUAACUCAGAAAAUGAAUAACUAAAACAAAACUAAAAACGAGACAGGGACUGCAACCCGGAAACAAAACAUAAACACAAACUCAACCCAUCAGCGCAAAACAUUUUGGUGCCAUACUCGAUGGCUUGCUCGGUGUGAAAAGUGCCGUUUUUCCGGUGAUACCCUUGUCGAUAAACACCGCCGCCGUGCCGAAACAGCGGCGAUAGAGCAAGUGCGAAUCGGAGGAGAGAAUAGCGGAGUCGCUUACAGGACAGAAGUAGUACUUUAUGAAAACUUGUUGGGAUAAAAAGAGAGAGUUAUGAAAGAGAAGAUGAUCAGAAAAAAAAUGUAUGAAUCGUGGGAAGAGCAGAGAGAG
rnacentral:lncRNA from 1 species